UAUCCUCUAUUGUCCUUUAGUUCUUCUCGCAUUAAUUCCCAAGAGUUUUCUUUCUCUUCUUUAAAACCCAAAUUAAACACAAAUUUCCAAGUCUAAUCAUUACCCAUCAUAUAACUUUUAAUAAGUGCAUCCAAUGCAUGGCCACCACAGAAGCUAAACAAAUGAUGACUAGUUAGAGAGCCUUGUCGUCCACCACCUCGACGCCCAAAGCCUCUGUAAAUGAUGCGGCUAGCACCGUAGGGAUUUGUGUACUAUGUGAUGUAAGAUGGCAUGUGGAUCUAGAUUCCAAUUAAAAGUGGUGAUGAAGCUCGGGCCGUUAAUCAAAAAAUAUGAUCAUCCAGUCUGGUGUGUAUGUAUAAUUUACAUAAAGUCAAAAAAAUGAAACUUUUAAUCUACGUAAUCACUAAGCCAGAGUGAUGAUUACGGGAGAUUAGGGCUAUGGAUUUUCCAUAUAAUAAAUGCAGGUGCAUCACUAACAGUCCCUAAAGCGACAUUUGUAGUAACCAAAGGAGACACAAGAGGUGCAUUCUGCAUAACAUGUAGUGGAUUUGCACAUAAAUAUAUUCAUAUACAACAAAAAUAAUGAUAAAGGUAAUGAAGUUGCCCUGAUGGAAUUACUGCUUUCCACCAAUGAGCCUUGAUUUGUUGUUCAGGUUUGCAGUUAUCUUGUAGUAUUU
rnacentral:lncRNA from 1 species